rnacentral:rRNA from 1 species
AAGCUCGUAGUUGAAUUUCGGGAUCAGUUCGCUGGUCGUGCCUUCGGUAGUAUGCACUGGUGUCACUGAUUCCUCCCUUCUGAAGAACCGUAAUGCCAUUCAGUUGGUGUGACGGGGAAUUAGGAUUGUUACUUUGAAAAAAUUAGAGUGUUUAAAGCAGGCUCGCGCUUGAAUACAUUAGCAUGGAAUAAUGAAAUAGGACGUUUGAUCCUAUUUUGUUGGUUUCUAGGAUCGACGUAAUGAUUAAUAGGGAUAGUUGGG